AGCAGCCGCGGUAAUUCCAGCUCCAAUAGCGUAUAUUAAAGUUGUUGCAGUUAAAAAGCUCGUAGUUGAAUUUCGGGACCAAUUUGUUGGUCGUGCCUCGGUACGUACUGGUAUUAUUGGUUUCUCCCUUCUGAAGAACCUCGAUGCCAUUAAUUUGGUGUCGUGGGGAAUCAGGACUGUUACUUUGAAAAAAUUAGAGUGUUUAAAGCAAGCAUACGCUUGAAUACAUUAGCAUGGAAUAAUGAAAUAGGACGUUUGAUUCUAUUUUGUUGGUUUCUAGGAUCGACGUAAUGAUUAAUAGGGAUAGUUGGGGGCAUUAGUAUUCAAUUGUCAGAGGUGAAAUUCUUGGAUUUAUUGAAGACUAACUACUACGAAAGCAUUUGCCAAGGAUGUUUUCAUUAAUCAAGAACGAAAGUUAGGGGAUCGAAGACGAUCAGAUACCGUCGUAGUCUUAACCAUAAACUAUGCCGACUAGGGAUCGGAUGAUGUUAAUUUUUAAUGACUCAUUCGGCGCCUUACG
rnacentral:rRNA from 1 species